AAAGGAAUUGACGGGGGCCCGCACAAGCAGCGGAGCAUGUGGUUUAAUUCGAAGCAACGCGAAGAACCUUACCUAGACUUGACAUCCCCUGAAUUACUCGUAAUUGAGGAAGUCCCUUCGGGGACAGGGAGACAGGUGGUGCAUGGUUGUCGUCAGCUCGUGUCGUGAGAUGUUGGGUUAAGUCCCGCAACGAGCGCAACCCUUAUCAUUAGUUGCUACCAUUUAGUUGAGCACUCUAAUGAGACUGCCCGGGUUAACCGGGAGGAAGGUGGGGAUGACGUCAAAUCAUCAUGCCCCUUAUGUCUAGGGCCACACACGUGCUACAAUGGUGAGUACAACAAGAUGCGAACCCGCGAGGGGGAGCUAAACUCAAAAACUCAUCUCAGUUCGGAUUGCAGGCUGAAACUCGCCUGCAUGAAGCUGGAGUUGCUAGUAAUCGCGAAUCAGAAUGUCGCGGUGAAUACGUUCCCGGGCCUUGUACACACCGCCCGU
rnacentral:rRNA from 1 species